rnacentral:rRNA from 1 species
CAGUUGAUACUGGGUGUCUUGAGUACAGUAGAGGCAGGCGGAAUUCGUGGUGUAGCGGUGAAAUGCUUAGAUAUCACGAAGAACUCCGAUUGCGAAGGCAGCCUGCUGGACUGUAACUGACGCUGAUGCUCGAAAGUGUGGGUAUCAAACAGGAUUAGAUACCCUGGUAGUCCACACAGUAAACGAUGAAUACUCGCUGUUUGCGAUAUACAGUAAGCGGCCAAGCGAAAGCGUUAAGUAUUCCACCUGGGGAGUACGCCGGCAACGGUGAAACUCAAAGGAAUUGACGGGGGCCCGCACAAGCGGAGGAACAUGUGGUUUAAUUCGAUGAUACGCGAGGAACCUUACCCGGGCUUGAAUUGCAACUGAAUGAUGUGGAGACAUGUCAGCCGCAAGGCAGUUGUGAAGGUGCUGCAUGGUUGUCGUCAGCUCGUGCCGUGAGGUGUCGGCUUAAGUGCCAUAACGAGCGCAACCCUUAUCGAUAGGUACCAUCAGGUUAUGCUGGGGACUCUGUCGAGACUGCCGUCGUAAGAUGUGAGGAAGGUGGGGAUGACGUCAAAUCAGCACGGCCCUUACGUCCGGGGCUACACACGUGUUACAAUGGGGGGUACAGAAGGCAGCUACACGGCGACGUGAUGCUAAUCCCUAAAGCCUCUCUCAGUUCGGAUUGGAGUCUGCAACCCGACUCCAUGAAGCUGGAUUCGCUAGUAAUCGCGCAUCAGCCACGGCGCGGUGAAUACGUUCCCGGGCCUUGUACACACCGCCCGUCAAGCCAUGAAAGCCGGGGGUACCUGAAGUGCGUAACCGCAAGGAGCGCCCUAGGGUAAA